UACGGAGGGUGCAAGCGUUAUCCGGAUUCACUGGGUUUAAAGGGUGCGUAGGCGGUUUUAUAAGUCAGUGGUGAAAUCAACGGGCUCAACCUGUUAACUGCCAUUGAUACUGUUUAACCUGAAUUUGGUAGAGGUAGGCGGAAUGAUGCAUGUAGCGGUGAAAUGCUUAGAUAUGCUUCGGAACACCGAUUGCGAAGGCAGCUUACUAUGUCAAGAUUGACGCUGAGGCACGAAAGCGUGGGUAGCGAACAGG
rnacentral:rRNA from 1 species